UACACGUAGCAAGACCUAAACAGU
rnacentral:siRNA from 1 species